rfam:Micromonospora sp. ATCC 39149 genomic scaffold supercont1.1, whole genome shotgun sequence.
CUUCACCGACCCCAACCACAACGGCACCUCACGAUCACGCCCAUAAGUCGCCAACAACGCCUGCGCCUC